UGGAAAAGUGACGAGUGUAUGGCAGUGAGAAGAAGUCCAAUGCACAGCAGGUCCUGCACUUGCAUUUUAAAGUAGUUUCAGAAUAAGUCAGAUUUAGUCAUUUAUAUCAAACGCCGUUCAUCGGUAGAGAUAUGGAGUAACUGGAAGGGCACGAUACAGACUUAAGUUCGCCAGUCCCUGCUCCUCAGGGCCUGCUCCUGACAGAGGCUUCGAAGAAUCGUCUCCCAAAAUGUCUCACUGAGGGGGAGGGUGUUACUCGCUGGCCCCCUGAGCAGCACAGGAGCAGCAGAUUCCAUUUUCAGGACCGUGUGGAUUGGCUGCUUGAAGUUCCCCUGCCUCUUUUUACUUCUUUCCCUCUCACCCUCUCCUUUCCUCUCCCUCUCCUCCAUU